GGAAUGGGUGUAGCUCAGUAGAAAAGAACCUGCUUUGCAUGCAGAAGGCGCUAGGGUUCAACCCCUGGCAUCUCCA